rnacentral:rRNA from 1 species
GGGGAAUAUUGCACAAUGGGGGAAACCCUGAUGCAGCAACGCCGCGUGAAUGAUGAAGGCCUUCGGGUCGUAAAGUUCUUUGAUUGGGGACGGUAAUGACGGUACCCAAAAAACAAGCCACGGCUAACUACGUGCCAGCAGCCGCGGUAAUACGUAGGUGGCGAGCGUUGUCCGGAUUUACUGGGCGUAAAGGAUGCGUAGGUGGAAACUUAAGUGGGAUGUGAAAUCCCCGGGCUCAACCCGGGAACUGCAUUCCAAACUGGGUUACUUGAGUGCAGGAGAGGAAAGCGGAAUUCCUAGUGUAGCGGUGAAAUGCGUAGAUAUUAGGAAGAACACCAGUGGCGAAGGCGGCUUUCUGGACUGUAACUGACACUGAGGCAUGAAAGCGUGGGGAGCAAAC